GACGAACGCUGGCGGCGUGCUUAGCACAUGCAAGUCGAGCGGAAAACUUCGGUUUUCAGCGGCGGACGGGUGAGUAACACGUGGGCAACCUGCCUCACAAUGAGGGAUAGCUUUCCGAAAGGAAGAUUAAUACCUCAUAACACAAGAGAAACGCAUGUUUCUCUUGCCAAAGAAUUUCGUUGUGAGAUGGGCCCGCGGCGCAUUAGCUUGUUGGUGAGGUAACGGCUCACCAAGGCUUCGAUGCGUAGCCGACCUGAGAGGGUGAUCGGCCACAUUGGAACUGAGACACGGUCCAGACUCCUACGGGAGGCAGCAGUGGGGAAUAUUGCACAAUGGAGGAAACUCUGAUGCAGCAACGCCGCGUGAGUGAUGAAGGUCUUCGGAUUGUAAAACUCUGUCUUCUGGGACGAUAAUGACGGUACCAGAGGAGGAAGCCACGGCUAACUACGUGCCAGCAGCCGCAGUAA
rnacentral:rRNA from 1 species